rnacentral:lncRNA from 1 species
GAUAAUAAUACGCUUGGGUGCAGGGUCCUGGCUGCAGAUGAAGGGGGCUGGGUGGACAGCGCUGACACCCGGGCAGUACGGGGAGCUGUCCUGUCUGCAGGCGAGGGGGCUGGGUGGACAGCGCUGACACCCAGGCAGUACAGGGGAGCUGUUCUGUCUGCAGGCGAAGGGGCUGGGUGGACAGCACUGACACCCGGGCAGUACUGGGGAGCUGUCCUGUCUGCAGGCGAGGGGGCUGGGUGGACAGCCCUGACACUCGGGCAGUAUGGGGGGGCUGGGUGGACAGCGUUGACACCCGGGCAGUAUGGGGGGGGCUGUCCUGUUCUCAAAUGAAGGGGGCUGGGUGGAUAACGCUGACACCCGGGGAGGACCGGGGGUCUGUCCUGUUCUUCAGUUGAAGGGGGCU